rnacentral:rRNA from 1 species
AUUGAACGCUGGCGGCAUGCUUUACACAUGCAAGUCGAACGGUAACAGGCCUUCGGGUGCUGACGAGUGGCGAACGGGUGAGUAAUGCAUCGGAACGUGCCCAGAGGUGGGGGAUAACGCAGCGAAAGCUGUGCUAAUACCGCAUGUGAUCUGAGGAUGAAAGCGGGGGACCAGGCAGCAAUGUUUGGCCUCGCGCCUUUGGAGCGGCCGAUGUCAGAUUAGGUAGUUGGUGUGGUAAAGGCCUACCAAGCCGACGAUCUGUAGCUGGUCUGAGAGGACGACCAGCCACACUGGGACUGAGACACGGCCCAGACUCCUACGGGAGGCAGCAGUGGGGAAUUUUGGACAAUGGGCGCAAGCCUGAUCCAGCAAUGCCGCGUGCGGGAAGAAGGCCUUCGGGUUGUAAACCGCUUUUGUACGGAACGAAAAGGCUCUGGCUAAUACCUGGGGCUGAUGACGGUACCGUAAGAAUAAGCACCGGCUAACUACGUG